AUGGUCGUAGCAUCUCUCGACUUCGGCUCCAGCAUGUGGUGGCUGCAGUCGCAGCAUCAUAGCCGGCUGGUUCCAGCAUUCGGCAACCGCAGUUGGAACACGCGGUUCCCCCCAUCACAGCACCCCGUUAACAUCAUACUAGCGUCCCCCAUCACUGUCGUUGUAGCUCAUGUGUGCCGCGGCGGGCUGGGCGCGGACCAAAUCGUCGAGGAGGGGCAGGGGGAGGCCGCGGAGGACAAGGGCGGGCCACCCGGCCUGCUCGACGCUCCCCCCGGCGUCCUGUUGGAGGUCAAGAAGGAGGCCGUGGUGCUGCUGGGCGGCGGAUUGGGCGGGGUGCCUGCUCCCGUGUUGCGGAUUGGCGAUUUCGUUGCACAAGAGGACAGUUUGGGGGCAGCGAUUGAUGCCGAGAUGUGUACUGUAGCUGCUGGUGAUGCUGAUGCUAGUAGCGUAGCUGCCGUUCAUGCCGCGGCUAGUACUGUACCUCCGGUUGAUGCUGAGAUGAGUACAGUAGCCUCUGUUGCUGCUGACACUAGUGCCAUGGCUGCUGUUGAUGCUGAGACUAGUCCCGCUGGGGCUUCUGUUGACGCUGAGAUGAGUGCCAUAGGUGCUGUUGAUGCUGAUACUAGUACCAUUGCUUCUGUUGAUGCUGAGAUGAGUUCUGGGGCCAUGGUAAAUAAGGAAGUGGAGCGUGGUGGAGGCAAGGGGGAGGAGGAGAGCAAGGACGAAGAGUCGGAGAGCAGCGAGGAUGAGGAAUUAAGUGAAGCCUUAUCGAGCAGUGAUGAGGAGGAGGAGCCGGCCAAGAAUGAUGAGGAGUCGAGUGAAGCCUCGUCGAGCAGUGAUGAGGAAGUGCCGGUGGCCAAAAAGCAUAGUUGUCCCAGUGACAUGGAGGCCCUCCUUGAAGAGGGUGAGCUUAUGACUGGAGUCGAGGAUGAGGAUGAUGACGAAACACCAAAGGGUCCUAUCAAGUCCAAACAUGAAGUAGAGGUACUUCCUCCAGUUCCAAAGAUUGAAGUGCAGUUGGAACCGCAUCAUAAGGCACUUCCAGUGGGGACAAUUACAGCUAUCAUGGGGGAGAGAGUGAUUGUUGAAGGAUCAGUGGAACACAGUCCCCUGACUGAGGGUUCUAUACUCUGGAUAACUGAGAGCAGGACGCCACUUGGCAUUGUUGAUGAAAUAUUUGGACCUGUAAAAAACCCUUACUAUCUUGUGCGGUAUAAUUCCGUGGAAGAAGUGCCUGCUGGGAUCAGUGCAGGAACUACAGUCUGCUUUGUUGUGGAGUUUGCAGAUCAUAUCCUAAAUAUGAAGGAGCUAUAUGCCAAAGGCUAUGAUGAAUCUGCUGACCAUGAUGAGGAGGCAGAUGAACCUGAAUUCUCUGAUGAUGAGCAGGAGGCUGAGUACAAAAGAUCACUACGACUGGUAAAAAGGCAGACUGAUAGGCCGCAUGAUUCUAAGAAACCUUCUGGUGACAAGAAGAGGGCGCAGACCAGGGGUGCUGGAUUUCGAAAUGACAUGCCACCAAGGAUCCACAAUACACCGACAUCUGGUCACCAGUCACAGCGUCGUUUCCACCGCUCGGAUAUGGCUGACAGUGUGACAUAUCAUUCGGGUCAACAAAAUUCUCCGAUGAGUACACCAAGGGACAUGCCACCUAGAAUCCAUGAUGCAUCAACAGCAGAUCGCCGAGCACAGCCUCUAUUUCACCGGUCUGAUAUGGCAACUGCUGUUGCUGACAGCGCAACACGACAAACGGGUCCUCAAAACUUUCCUAUGAGCACACCAACAAUGCUGCCAUCAAUCUCAAUGAAUCAUGCUAUGCCAUCACCUGUUCAACUUGCAAAUCAGAUGGGCAGUUGCUUCAUCAAUCCACAGCAGUUCUCUCAGCAGCCAAAUAUGGUUUGGCCCGGCGGGCUUCCACCUCCAGGGCAGCCAAACAUGGGAGUUGAUGGAGCUGCUCUUGCAGCUAAUAUUAUGCAGAAUAUACUUAUGGGAGCCAACCAGUUCCAGCAGUAUUUACAGAAUCAGAACUUUGGUGGCUUCCCAAAUGGAAUGCCCAUGGCCCAACAACAAUUUAUGCCAGGGAGCACAAUGAGUGCAAACAUGAUGCCAUUUGGUGGACCGCCAGUAAAUCAUCCUUUUGGUCAGGCAUCUCAAUUUUCUAUGGGGCAAGGCAACUUUGGUCAGUUUCCACACAUGGCUGGCAACCAAGGGCCACCUGCUGGAUUUCCCAACACCCAAGGAUUUGGGCGCUUCCCAUCACAACAUGAGGAUGGAGAUCAGCCUCCUGGAAAUGCAAACAUGCAAGGACAUGGGCGCCUCCCUUCAACGCACGGAGAUGGAGGCCAGCCUCCUAUGCAGUUCAAUUCCCUACCAUCACCCCGCGGAGAUGGAGGUCAGCAGCCUCCUAUGCAGUUCAAUUCCCUACCAUCACCCCGUGGAGAUGGAGGUCAGCCUCCUAUGCAGUUCAAUUCGCUGCCUUCACCCCGUGGAGAUGGAGGUCAGCCUCCGAUGCAAUUCAAUUCGGGGCAGUUUAAUCAGGGGAACUCAUCCUUCCGUGGUAGAAGACCACAACAACGUGGAGGCCGACAUUCACCAGGGAGAGGUGGUGGUGGCGGACGGCAUCGCAAGUAG
rnacentral:rRNA from 1 species